GUGAAUCAUCGAAUUUUUGAACGCAAAUUGCACUCUCUGGUAUUCCGGAGAGUAUGCCUGUUUGAGGGUCAGUUUAAAUAAAAAGCGGUAUGGUUGCUGCCUUUCGUGGUGAAGCACCGGAUUUGGGUCGGCUUGCCUGCGGCUAAGUGAUCUAAAAGUUUGCAUGAUUUUUUUCGAACUUAUG
rnacentral:misc_RNA from 1 species